rnacentral:misc_RNA from 1 species
AAAUGCGGUACGUAGUGUGCAUUGCAGAAUUCCGUGAACCAUCGAAUCUUUGAACGCAUAUUGCGCUCGAGCCCUCGGGCAAGAGCAUGUCUGCCUCAGCGUCGGUUUACACCCUCACCCCUCCCACUUUUGUUGGGUGUGUUGGCUUCUAUGCCAGCCAUAGGGGUGGAUCUGGCUUCCCCAAUUCGCUGUAGUGGAUUGGGUUGGCUGAAGUAUAGAGGCUUAAGCAAGGACCCGAUAUGGGCUUCAACUGGAUAGGUAGCACCGGCUUUCGCCGACUACACGAAGUUGUUGCUUGUGGAUCUUGCUAGAGGCCAAGCAGGAACGUGCCUUUGGCAUGUCUAAACUUUCGACCUGAGCUCAGGCAAGGCUACCCGCUGAACUUAAGC